CAGCGCCGCGGGAAUACGUAGGUCCCGAGCGUUGUCCGGAUUUAUUGGGCGUAAAGGGAGCGCAGGCGGUUUAGUAAGUCUGAAGUUAAAGGCAUUGGCUCAACCAAUGUAUGCUUUGGAAACUGUUAGACUUGAGUGCAGAAGGGGAGAGUGGAAUUCCAUGUGUAGCGGUGAAAUGCGUAGAUAUAUGGAGGAACACCAGUGGCGAAGGCGACUCUCUGGUCUGUAACUGACGCUGAGGCUCGAAAGCGUGGGUAGCAAACAGGAUUAGAUACCCGCGUAGUCCCUGUCUCUUAUACAC
rnacentral:rRNA from 1 species